UCCAUGCCCUAAACGAUGUUCACUAGCUAUUGGGAGUAUCGACCCUCUCAGUGGCACAGCUAACGCGUUAAGUGAACCGCCUGGGAAGUACGACCGCAAGGUUAAAACUCAAAGGAAUAGACGGGGACCCGCACAAGCGGUGGAGCAUGAGGUUUAAUUCGAUGAUGAGCGAAGAAUCUCACCAGGGCUUGACAUUUCGAUGAAAGCUUUCCGAAAGGUAAGCCCUCUAUUAU
rnacentral:rRNA from 1 species